rnacentral:rRNA from 1 species
CAACCUGCCCUUUACUCCGGGAUAGUCUCCUGAAAGGGAGUUUAAUACCGGAUGUGUUUGUCUUUCCGCAUGGGAGCGACAAAUAAAGAUUAAUUGGUAAAGGAUGGGGAUGCGUCCCAUUAGCUUGUUGGCGGGGUAACGGCCCACCAAGGCGACGAUGGGUAGGGGUUCUGAGAGGAAGGUCCCCCACAUUGGAACUGAGACACGGUCCAAACUCCUACGGGAGGCAGCAGUGAGGAAUAUUGGUCAAUGGGCGGGAGCCUGAACCAGCCAAGUAGCGUGAAGGACGACGGCCCUACGGGUUGUAAACUUCUUUUAUAAGGGAAUAAAGUUCGCCACGUGUGGUGUUUUGUAUGUACCUUAUGAAUAAGCAUCGGCUAAUUCCGUGCCAGCAGCCGCGGUAAUACGGAAGAUGCGAGCGUUAUCCGGAUUUAUUGGGUUUAAAGGGAGCGUAGGCGGGCUUUUAAGUCAGCGGUCAAAUGUCGUGGCUCAACCAUGUCAAGCCGUUGAAACUGUAAGCCUUGAGUCUGCACAGGGCACAUGGAAUUCGUGGUGUAGCGGUGAAAUGCUUAGAUAUCACGAAGAACUCCGAUUG